AUUGAACGCUGGCGGCAGGCCUAACACAUGCAAGUCGAGCGCGCGGCGGACGGGUGUGUAAUGUAUGGGGACUGCCCGUUAGAGGGGGAUAACUACUGGAAAAGGUGGCUCAUACAGCAUAUUGCCGGAUAACCCAUAUGGGAUUAGCUAGUAGGUAAGGUAAUGGCUUACCCAGGCGACGAUCCCUAGCUGGGCUGAGAGGAUGAUCAGCCACACUGGGACUGAGACACGGCCCAGACUCCUACGGAGGCAGCAGUGGGGAAUAUUGCACAAUGGGCGCAAGCCUGAUGCAGCCAUGCCGCGUGUAUGAAGAAGGCCCUAGGGUUGUAAAGUACUUUCAGUCGGGAGGCGUUACCGACAGAAGAAGCACCGGCUAACUCCGUGCCAGCCGCCGCGGUAAUUC
rnacentral:rRNA from 1 species